UCAGGAUGAACGCUAGCGGCAGGCUUAACACGAUGCAAGUCGAGGGGCAUCGGGAGUAGCAAUACUGCCGGCGACCGGCGCAAGGGUGCGUAACGCGUGAGCAACAGUGCCCGUAUCAGGGGGAUAAUCCAUGGAAACGUGGUCUAAUACCCCAUAGUAAUUAUGUAAGGCAUCUUAUAUAAUUUAAAGCUUUGGUGGAUACGGAUUGGCUCGCGUGACAUUAGCUGGAUGGUAAGGUAACGGCUUACCAUGGCUACGAUGUCUAGGGGUUCUGAGAGGAAGGUCCCCCACACUGGAACUGAGACACGGUCCAGACUCCUACGGGAGGCAGCAGUGAGGAAUAUUGGACAAUGGAUGGAAAUCUGAUCCAGCCAUGCCGCGUGCCAGGAAGACGGCCCUAUGGGUUGUAAACUGCUUUUGUAUGGGAGCAAUAAGGGCUACGUGUAGUCCGAUGAGAGUACCAUACGAAUAAGCACCGGCUAACUCCGUGCCAGCCGCCGC
rnacentral:rRNA from 1 species